GACGAGCGCUGGCGGCGUGCUUAACACAUGCAAGUCGAACGGAAAGACCCUGCUUUUGUGGGGUGCUCGAGUGGCGAACGGGUGAGUAACACGUGAGUAACCUGCCCUUGACUUUGGGAUAACUUCAGGAAACUGGGGCUAAUACCGGAUAGGAGCUCCUGCUGCAUGGUGGGGGUUGGAAAGUUUCGGCGGUUGGGGAUGGACUCGCGGCUUAUCAGCUUGUUGGUGGGGUAGUGGCUUACCAAGGCUUUGACGGGUAGCCGGCCUGAGAGGGUGACCGGCCACAUUGGGACUGAGAUACGGCCCAGACUCCUACGGGAGGCAGCAGUGGGGAAUAUUGCACAAUGGGCGGAAGCCUGAUGCAGCAACGCCGCGUGCGGGAUGACGGCCUUCGGGUUGUAAACCGCUUUCGCCUGUGACGAAGCGUGAGUGACGGUAAUGGGUAAAGAAGCACCGGCUAACUACGUG
rnacentral:rRNA from 1 species